ensembl:lncRNA
GUUGUAAAUGUCAAAACUUUCUGAUCUAUACAAGUCCAUGGCCACAAAACCAUGUCAAGAGGUCUGUGAGCAGAAGGAAGGAACCCUGGCCUUUCUGCAGAGGACAUCGUUUGAGCCUUCUAACAGAAAUGCCAGCACUCAAGCACUGCAAAAAGCCUACUCAGCCCCAGCUAAAAGCUCAGACUCAAUAUGGUUAUUUCCAGCUCCGUGGGCAGAUGAAGACAUUUCUGGUGUGCUCCCAUUUCUGGAGGUGCCCUGAAAGGAUGACUUUGUUGGCAGCACUCUUCCUGACUCCACUAAAUGCAAGGCUGCAG